AACGAACGCUGGCGGCGUGCCUAAUACAUGCAAGUCGAGCGGACAGAAGGGAGCUUGCUCCCGGAAGUUAGCGGCGGACGGGUGAGUAACACGUGGGCAACCUACCCUGUAGAUCGGGAUAACAUCGAGAAAUCGGUGCUAAUACCGGAUAAUCAUUUGAAGUGCAUGCUUCGAAUGUAAAAGAUGGCUCCGGCUAUCACUACGGGAUGGGCCCGCGGCGCAUUAGCUAGUUGGUAAGGUAAUGGCUUACCGAGGCAACGAUGCGUAGCCGACCUGAGAGGGUGAUCGGCCACACUGGGACUGAGACACGGCCCAGACUCCUACGGGAGGCAGCAGUAGGGAAUCUUCCGCAAUGGACGAAAGUCUGACGGAGCAACGCCGCGUGAGUGAUGAAGGUUUUCGGAUCGUAAAGCUCUGUUGUUAGGGAAGAACAAGUGCCGUUUGAAUAAGGCGGCACCUUGACGGUACCUAACCAGAAAGCCACGGCUAACUACGUGCCAGCAGCCGCGGUAACAC
rnacentral:rRNA from 1 species